rnacentral:rRNA from 1 species
UCCCUACGGGGGGGGCACAGUGGGGAAUAUUGCACAAUGGGCGCAAGCCUGAUGCAGCGACGCCGCGUGAGGGAUGACGGCCUUCGGGUUGUAAACCUCUUUCACCAGGGACGAAGCGCAAGUGACGGUACCUGGAGAAGAAGCACCGGCCAACUACGUGCCAGCAGCCGCGGUAAUACGUAGGGUGCGAGCGUUGUCCGGAAUUACUGGGCGUAAAGAGCUCGUAGGCGGUUUGUCGCGUCGUCUGUGAAAUUCUGCAACUCAAUUGUAGGCGUGCAGGCGAUACGGGCAGACUUGAGUACUACAGGGGAGACUGGAAUUCCUGGUGUAGCGGUGAAAUGCGCAGAUAUCAGGAGGAACACCGGUGGCGAAGGCGGGUCUCUGGGUAGUAACUGACGCUGAGGAGCGAAAGCGUGGGUAGCGAAGAGGAUUAGAUACCUCUGG